CCUACGGGUGGCAGCAGUGGGGAAUUUUGGACAAUGGGCGCAAGCCUGAUCCAGCUAUUCCGCGUGUGGGAAGACGGCCUUCGGGUUGUAAACCACUUUUGUAGAGAACGAAAAGUCUGUUGAUAAUACCGAUAGAUGAUGACGGUACUCUAAGAAUAAGCACCGGCUAACUACGUGCCAGCAGCCGCGGUAAUACGUAGGGUGCGAGCGUUAAUCGGAAUUACUGGGCGUAACGGGUGUGCAGGCGGUUUUGCAAGAUUGAUGUGAAAGCCCCGGGCUUAACCUCGGAAAGGCAUAUAUGACUGCAAGACUGGAGUGCGUGAGAGGGGGGUGGAAUUCCAAGUGUAGCAGUGAAAUGCGUAGAUAUUUGGAAGAACACCGAUGGCGAAGGCAGCCCCCUGGGACGCAACUGACGCUCAUACACGAAAGCGUGGGGAGCAAACAGGAUUAGAUACCCGGGUAGUC
rnacentral:rRNA from 1 species